GUUAUAUGGUCAAGCGAAUAAGCGCACACGGUGGAUGCCUUGGCGGUCAGAGGCGAUGAAGGACGUGGCAGCCUGCGAAAAGUAUCGGGGAGCUGGCAACAAGCUUUGAUCCGGUAAUGUCCGAAUGGGGAAACCCACCCGCUUGCGGGUAUCCUGCAGUGAAUACAUAGCUGCUGGAAGCGAACCUGGUGAACUGAAAUAUCUAAGUAACCAGAGGAAAAGAAAUCAACCGAGAUUCCGUAAGUAGCGACGAGCGAACGCGGACUAGCCCUUAAGCUGGAUUGGUUCUAGGAAAACRCUCUGGAAAGAGYGGCCAUAGAAGGUGAUAGCCCUGUAUCUGAAAGGGCCAUUCCAGUGAAGACGAGUAGGGCGGGGCACGUGAAACCCUGUCUGAACAUGGGGGGACCAUCCUCCAAGGCUAAAUACUACUGACCGACCGAUAGUGAACCAGUACCGUGAGGGAAAGGCGAAAAGAACCCCGGAGAGGGGAGUGAAAUAGAACCUGAAACCGUGUGCGUACAAGCAGUAGGAGCUCCGCAAGGAGUGACUGCGUACCUUUUGUAUAAUGGGUCAGCGACUUACUGUUCGUGGCAAGCUUAACCGUAUAGGGGAGGCGAAGGGAAACCGAGUCUGAUAAGGGCGCAUAGUCGCGGGCAGUAGACCCGAAACCGGGUGAUCUAGUCAUGCCCAGGGUGAAGGUGCGGUAACACGCACUGGAGGCCCGAACCCACUCCCGUUGCAAAGGUAGGGGAUGAGGUGUGAUUAGGAGUGAAAAGCUAAUCGAACCCGGAGAUAGCUGGUUCUCCUCGAAAGCUAUUUAGGUAGCGCCUCAUAUGUAUCCUCUCGGGGGUAGAGCACUGUUAUGGCUAGGGGGUCAUCGCGACUUACCAAACCAUUGCAAACUCCGAAUACCGAGACGGACUGUAUGGGAGACACACGGCGGGUGCUAACGUCCGUCGUGAAAAGGGAAACAACCCAGACCCACAGCUAAGGUCCCAAAUUUUGUGCUAAGUGGAAAACCAUGUGGAAAGGCACAGACAGCCAGGAGGUUGGCUUAGAAGCAGCCACCCUUUAAAGAAAGCGUAAUAGCUCACUGGUCGAGUCGGUCUGCGGGGAAGAUUUAACGGGGCUAAGCACAGAACCGAAGCUUGGGGUGCAUACUUUGUAUGCGCGGUAGAGGAGCGUUCCGUAAGCCGUUGAAGGUGGAUUGAGAAGUCUGCUGGAGGUAUCGGAAGUGCGAAUGCUGACAUGAGUAACGAUAAUGCGGGUGAAAAACCCGCACGCCGAAAGCCCAAGGUUUCCUUGCGCAACGUUAAUCGGCGCAGGGUGAGUCGGCCCCUAAGGCGAGGACGAAAGUCGUAGUCGAUGGGAAGCAGGUUAAUAUUCCUGCACCUCGCGUAAGUGCGAUGGAGGGACGGAGAAGGUUAGGUGUACCAGGCGUUGGUUGUCCUGGGGAAAGGCGGUAGGUUUGGAUCUUUGGCAAAUCCGGGAUCCUCUAAGACCGAGCACCGAGACGAGCCUUUAUGGCGAAGUCACUGAUACCACGCUUCCAGGAAAAGCUCCUAAGCUUCAGCUUACGCAGACCGUACCGUAAACCGACACAGGUGGGUAGGAUGAGAAUUCUCAGGCGCUUGAGAGAACUCGGGUGAAGGAACUAGGCAACAUGGCACCGUAACUUCGGGAGAAGGUGCACCCUUUUUGGUGGCUCRUGCGAGCUAUAGCUGAAGAGGGUCGCAGUAACCAGGCCGCUGCGACUGUUUAUCAAAAACACAGCACUCUGCAAACACGAAAGUGGACGUAUAGGGUGUGACGCCUGCCCGGUGCUGGAAGGUUAAUUGAUGGGGUCAGCCGCAAGGCGAAGCUCUUGAUCGAAGCCCCAGUAAACGGCGGCCGUAACUAUAACGGUCCUAAGGUAGCGAAAUUCCUUGUCGGGUAAGUUCCGACCUGCACGAAUGGCGUAACGACAGCGGCGCUGUCUCCACCCGAGACUCAGUGAAAUUGAAAUCGCUGUGAAGAUGCAGCGUUCCCGUGGCAAGACGGAAAGACCCCGUGAACCUUUACUAUAGCUUUACACUGAACGUUGAGUUCGUCUGUGUAGGAUAGGUGGGAGGCUAUGAAACYAUGGCGCCAGCUGUGGUGGAGCCAUCCUUGAAAUACCACCCUGUCGUGCUUGACGUUCUAACCUGGGCCCAUUAUCUGGGUCGGGGACCGUGUAUGGUGGGUAGUUUGACUGGGGCGGUCUCCUCCUAAAGAGUAACGGAGGAGCUCGAAGGUACGCUCAGCGCGGUCGGACAUCGCGCACUGUGUGCAAAGGCAUAAGCGUGCUUGACUGCAAGAUCGACGGAUCAAGCAGGUAGGAAACUAGGACUUAGUGAUCCGGUGGUUCUGUAUGGAAGGGCCAUCGCUCAACGGAUAAAAGGUACUCCGGGGAUAACAGGCUGAUACCGCCCAAGAGUUCAUAUCGACGGCGGUGUUUGGCACCUCGAUGUCGGCUCAUCACAUCCUGGGGCUGUAGUCGGUCCCAAGGGUAUGGCUGUUCGCCAUUUAAAGUGGUACGCGAGCUGGGUUCAGAACGUCGUGAGACAGUUCGGUCCCUAUCUGCCAUGGGCGUUGGAGAUUUGAGAGGGGCUGCUCCUAGUACGAGAGGACCGGAGUGGACGAACCUCUGGUGUUCCGGUUGUCACGCCAGUGGCAUUGCCGGGUAGCUAUGUUCGGAAGCGAUAACCGCUGAAAGCAUCUAAGCGGGAAGCGCGCCUCAAGAUGAGAUCUCCCGGGGCACAAGCCCCCUGAAGGAACCAUGUAGACUACGUGGUUGAUAGGUCAGGUGUGUAAGUACAGCAAUGUAUUGAGCUAACUGAUACUAAUGAUCCGUGCGGCUUGACCAUAUAACCU
rnacentral:rRNA from 1 species